CAGAUAGGUUGUAAGGUGUUUUGGGAGCACUAGGACGCAGGUUCAAAUCCUGUCGCCCUGA
rnacentral:tRNA from 2 species